rnacentral:pre_miRNA from 1 species
ACCUUGGCUUUAGACUGCUUACUGCUCCCCAGCUGACAGCCCAGUAACAGUCUACAGUCAUGGCUA